rnacentral:rRNA from 1 species
UACGAAGGGGGCUAGCGUUGUUCGGAAUCACUGGGCGUAAAGGGCGCGUAGGCGGCUUUGUAAGUCGGGGGUGAAAGCCUGUGGCUCAACCACAGAAUUGCCUUCGAUACUGCAUGGCUUGAGACCGGAAGAGGUAAGUGGAACUGCGAGUGUAGAGGUGAAAUUCGUAGAUAUUCGCAAGAACACCAGUGGCGAAGGCGGCUUACUGGUCCGGUUCUGACGCUGAGGCGCGAAAGCGUGGGGAGCAAACAG